rnacentral:rRNA from 1 species
UAAUACCGCAUACGAUNUACGGAUGAAAGCGGGGGACUCGCAAGAGCCUCGCGCGAUUGGAGCGGCCGAUAUCAGAUUAGGUAGUUGGUGGGGUAAAGGGCUCACCAAGCCAACGAUCUGUAGCUGGUCUGAGAGGACGACCAGCCACACUGGGACUGAGACACGGCCCAGACUCCUACGGGAGGCAGCAGUGGGGAAUUUUGGACAAUGGGCGCAAGCCUGAUCCAGCAAUGCCGCGUGCAGGAUGAAGGCCUUCGGGUUGUAAACUGCUUUUGUACGGAACGAAACGGUGAGCUCUAAUACAGUUUGCUAAUGACGGUACCGUAAGAAUAAGCACCGGCUAACUACGUG